rnacentral:rRNA from 1 species
UAAUACGUAGGGUGCAGGCGUUAAUCGGAAUUACUGGGCGUAAAGCGUGCGCAGGCGGUUUCUUAAGUCAGAUGUGAAAGCCCCGGGCUUAACCUGGGAACUGCGUUUGAAACUGGGAGACUUGAGUGUGGCAGAGGGGGGUGGAAUUCCACGUGUAGCAGUGAAAUGCGUAGAUAUGUGGAGGAACACCGAUGGCGAAGGCAGCCCCCUGGGUUAACACUGACGCUCAUGCACGAAAGCGUGGGGAGCAAACAGGAUUAGAUACCCUGGUAGUCCACGCCCUAAACUAUGUCAACUGGUUGUCGGGGGAUUGAUUCCCUUGGUAACGAAGCUAACGCGUGAAGUUGACCGCCUGGGGAGUACGGCCGCAAGGUUA